rnacentral:tRNA from 1 species
CGGGGAUUGGCGCAGGGGUAGCGCGCACGGUUCGGGACCGUGAGGUCGUGAGUUCAAAUCUCACAUCCCCGACUA